UUAUUUAUUUAUAUGCUGUUCAAUACUAAAGUCUCUGGAUGGCUUCCAAAAAACAAACAAAACAAACAAAGAACAAAACAACCACAUGCAACAAACAACACAUUUCAUUCAACCAUUAAGGAAUACUUUUGAAUAGCUGAGAUGGAUUUUUAGGGUUCAUUGAAAGGUUUUGCUUUGUCUUUAUUUAUUUGUGACUUUUGUUUUAUAAAUGAUUUCUUUUCCAUUAUUUUAGAAACUACCUUGACUUGCUCCUCUAUAAAAGAGUUAUCAAUGUUUUCAAUAAAUAAAUGUGUUACUGGAAGACACAGAAUGCAUGGACUCCAGCCAUUAAACUUUGAACUAACUUUAUGUGAUGUUAGUAUUUUAUUUAGGUAUUUAUUUAUACUAUUUACAUACCGCUUAAUUUUAUUGAAUCCCGAAGCAAUUCUACUAGAAACAGAAGUAGAGAAACAAAGAUCAUAUUCUCAAAAUAUACAAUUACUGAAUAAAAGUGUAAUUUGAUUAAGGCCUUUAUUCUAAUGAAGAAAACCUAUGCUAUAACUGAAGCAUUUGUAUUGCACUGGUCAGAACAAGAUCAAUAAGAAAAUGGAUUAAAUGGGUCCACUUCUCCCUUCCAUUAAAUGAAUGAAGAAAGAAAAGCAGAAGCUCAAGUUUGCAGGAGAAGCCUGACUGGGGCAUAUGGGCAGUGACAAGAUGGACCCAUGACAUCCUCACUUGCCUAGCUGGAAGCCAUUUUCCCAGGUCUUCAGCUCAGCCAAUCCACAGAGCAGCAGUCCCUUUCCCACUGAGAGCAAUGGAAGCAGGGAAGUGGAAGAAACAGAGGGGAUAAGAUGCAACAGCACCAAGGCUGUUGGAGCUGAUUGCUUGAGACUGGUGUGGAUGCUUCCUUGUUAUGGCUACCCAAAGGUAGGCAGAACCAGGGAACAGAACUGAACUGGAAU